rnacentral:rRNA from 1 species
AAAGUCCGCAAGGAUGAGUACAGUGGCGUACGGGUGAGUAACACGUGGAUGAUCUACCUCUUAGCGGGGAAUACCUCUGGGAAACCGGAGACAAUACCGCAUAAGCUCGAAAGAGGAAACCCGAAAGGGGCUGAGAGAGGAGUCCGCGGCCGAUUAGCUAGUUGGUAGGGUAAAAGCCUACCAAGGCCGAGAUCGGUAGCCGGCCUGAGAGGGCACACGGCCACACUGGCACUGAAACACGGGCCAGACUCCUACGGGAGGCAGCAGUGGGGAAUCUUGCACAAUGGGGGCAACCCUGAUGCAGCGACGCCGCGUGAGCGAUGAAGCCCUUCGGGGUGUAAAGCUCUUUCGACGGGAACGAUAAUGACGGUACCCGGAGAAGAAGCUGCGGCUAACUACGUGCCAGCAGCCGCGGUAAUACGUAGGCAGCAAGCGUUGUUCGGAGUUACUGGGCGUAAAGAGUGCGUAGGCGGCUCACCAAGUCUGCUGUGAAAUCUCCCGGCUUAACCGGGAGGGUGCGGUGGAAACUGGCGGGCUGGAGUGUGGGAGAGGUCAGCGGAAUUCCUGGUGUAGCGGUGAAAUGCGUAGAUAUCAGGAGGAACACCGGCGGUGUAGACGGCUGACUGGACCAUGACUGACGCUGAGGCACGAAAGCGUGGGUAGCAAACAGGAUUAGAUACCCUGGUAGUCCACGCCCUAAACGAUGCACACUUGGUGUGAGCCAUUCAUUUGGUUCGUGCCGGAGCUAACGCGUUAAGUGUGCCGCCUGGGGAGUACGGUCGCAAGGCUGAAACUC